AAACUUAAAGGAAUUGACGGAAGGGCACCACCAGGAGUGGAGCCUGCGGCUUAAUUCGACUCAACACGGGAAAACUCACCCGGCCCGGACACUGUGAGGAUUGACAGAUUGAGAGCUCUUUCUUGAUUCGGUGGUUGGUGGUGCAUGGCCGUUCUUAGUUGGUGGAGCGAUUUGUCUGGUUAAUUCCGAUAACGAACGAGACUUUGGCCUGCUAAAUAGUAUGCCUGUCCUCUGUGCUCGCGCGGGUAGCGGCGUUCAUUGCCUCGAAAGGGUGAUGAUGUCGUUGCCGGCGGGUACUGCGCAGGUGUUUACUUCUUAGAGGGACAAGCGGCGCGACAAGUCGCACGAAAAUGAGCAAUAACAGGUCUGUGAUGCCCUUAGAUGUCCGGGGCCGCACGUGCGCUACAAUGACGGUUUCAGCGAGUAUGGAAUCCUGGCCCGAAAGGGUUGGGCAAACUGAACCAUAACCGUCGUGACUGGGAUCGGGGCUUGCAAUUGUUCCCCGUGAACGAGGAAUUCCUGGUAAGUGCAAGUCAUAAGCUUGCGCUGAUUACGUCCCUGCCCUUUGUACACACCGCCCGUCGCUACUACCGAUUGAAUGGUUUAGCAAGGUCAUCGGAUCGGUGCCAUUGUAGUUGUUUCGGCAACUCGACCGGUGCUGAGAAGACGACCAAACUUGAUCAUUUAGAGGAAGUAAAAGUCGUAACAAGGUUUCCGUAGUGAACCUGCGGAAGGAUCAUUA
rnacentral:rRNA from 1 species